AGUGUAGGCGGCUACGUAAGUCGGAUGUGAAAGCCCUGGGCCCAACCUGGGAAUUGCAUUCGAUACUGCGUAGCUAGAGUUUGAUAGAGGUAAGUGGAAUUCCGGGUGUAGCGGUGAAAUGCGUAGAUAUCCGGAGGAACAUCAGUGGCGAAGGCGGCUUACUGGAUCAAAACUGACGCUGAGGCUCGAAAGCGUGGGGAGCAAACAGGAUUAGAUACCCUGGUAGUCC
rnacentral:rRNA from 1 species